GGUGUGGCUCAGUGGUAGAGCGUGUGCUUAGUGCGCACGAGGUCCUGGGUGCAAUCCCCAGUCCCUCCA
rfam:Camelus ferus unplaced genomic scaffold scaffold1949, whole genome shotgun sequence.